AACGAACGCUGGCGGCAUGCCUAACACAUGCAAGUCGAACGAGGCCUUCGGGUCUAGUGGCGCACGGGUGCGUAACGCGUGGGAACCUGCCCUUAGGUUCGGAAUAACUCCCCGAAAGGGGUGCUAAUACCGGAUAAUGUCUUCGGACCAAAGAUUUAUCGCCUUUGGAUGGGCCCGCGUUGGAUUAGCUAGUUGGUAGGGUAAAAGCCUACCAAGGCGACGAUCCAUAGCUGGUCUGAGAGGAUGAUCAGCCACACUGGGACUGAGACACGGCCCAGACUCCUACGGGAGGCAGCAGUGGGGAAUAUUGGACAAUGGGCGAAAGCCUGAUCCGGCAAUGCCGCGUGAGUGAUGAAGGCCUUAGGGUUGUAAAGCUCUUUUACCCGGGAUGAUAAUGACAGUACCGGGAGAAUAAGCUCCGGCUAACUCCGUG
rnacentral:rRNA from 1 species